rnacentral:rRNA from 1 species
AUGGAGGCGGUUCCCCUGCUGCUCCUCCUGCUCCUCCUCCUCUCCUCCCCUCUCGCGCCGGCGCCGGCCAACGGCCUCCUCUCACCCAAGGGCGUAAACUACGAAGUGCAAGCUCUCAUGACGAUCAAGAACUACCUCAAGGAUCCCCAUGGCGUGCUCAAGAACUGGGACCAGGACUCGGUGGAUCCUUGCAGCUGGACCAUGGUCACCUGCUCGCAGGAAAACCUCGUCACUGGCCUGGAAGCCCCAAGCCAGAACCUCUCUGGCCUGCUCUCCCCGAGCAUAGGCAAUCUGACCAAUCUCGAGAUAGUGCUGCUGCAGAACAACAACAUCAAUGGCCGAAUCCCGGCAGAGAUUGGCAGGCUCACGAAGCUUAGGACGCUUGAUCUCUCCAGCAACCACUUCUCUGGCGAAAUCCCCGGCUCCGUGAGCCGCCUCAGAGACCUCCAGUACUUGAGGCUCAACAACAACACCCUGUCCGGCGCAUUCCCUUCGGCGUCGGCUAAUCUGUCGCACCUUGUUUUCUUGGAUCUGUCCUACAAUAAUCUGAGCUGUCCAGUUCCAGGGUCUUUGGCAAGGACAUUCAACAUAGUAGGGAAUCCACUGAUCUGCGGAGCAGCUACAGAACAAGAUUGUUAUGGAACUUUGCCGAUGCCGAUGUCCUACAGCCUGAAUAACACACAAGGUACCGUACUGCCAGCAAAAUCUAAGAGCCACAAAGCCGCAAUUGCAUUUGGUUCUACGAUAGGCUGCAUCAGCAUCCUUUUCCCAGUGACGGGAUUGCUGUUCUGGUGGAGGCAUAGGAAAAAUCGGCAGAUUCUUUUCGAUGUCGAUGACCAGCACAUAGAGAACGUCAACCUUGAAAACCUGAAGAGGUUUCAGUUCAGAGAGCUCCAGGCUGCAACGGAGAACUUCAGCAGCAAGAACAUGAUAGGAAAAGGCGGUUUUGGAAAUGUUUAUCGAGGGAAGCUCCCAGAUGGAACUAUAGUAGCAGUCAAGAGGCUGAAAGAUGGAAAUGCCGCAGGCGGGGAAUUGCAAUUUCAGACUGAAGUCGAGAUGAUCAGCUUGGCAGUGCACCGGAAUCUCCUUAGGCUCUGCGGGUUCUGCAUGACUGCCACCGAGAGGCUACUUAUCUAUCCAUACAUGUCCAAUGGAAGUGUUGCAUCACGCCUGAAAGGGAAGCCACCACUGAACUGGAUCACCAGAAAGGGAAUAGCCCUCGGCGCAGCAAGAGGCCUACUAUACCUGCACGAGCAGUGUGAUCCCAAGAUCAUCCACAGGGAUGUAAAGGCAGCAAAUGUACUGCUCGAUGACUUCUGUGAAGCAAUUGUUGGAGAUUUUGGGCUUGCCAAGCUCCUGGAUCACCGUGACUCGCAUGUUACCACAGCUGUGAGGGGAACUGUAGGCCACAUUGCUCCAGAGUACCUCUCCACGGGCCAGUCAUCUGAGAAAACUGAUGUCUUCGGCUUCGGGAUCCUGCUGCUAGAACUGAUCACCGGGCAGACUGCACUUGAGUUUGGAAAGUCAUCAAAUCAGAAGGGAGCCAUGCUUGACUGGGUGAAGAAGAUGCACCAGGAGAAGAAGCUCGACGUGCUUGUCGACAAGGGACUCGGAAGCAGUUACGACCACAUUGAGCUAGAGGAGAUGGUGCAGGUGGCGCUGCUUUGCACCCAGUAUCUCCCCAGUCACAGGCCUAAGAUGUCGGAGGUGGUCAGGAUGCUCGAAGGAGAUGGGCUCGCAGAGCGGUGGGAGGCGUCGCAGCGUACUGACUCGCACAAGUUCAAGGUGCCCGACUUCACCUUUGGGCGUUGCUACUCCGACCUGACAGACGAUUCAUCAUUGCUGGUGCAAGCAGUUGAGCUCUCCGGACCAAGAUGA